GAGUUUGAUCCUGGCUCAGAACGUACGCUGGCGGCACGCCUAACACAUGCAAGUCGAACGAAGUAGCAAUACUUAGUGGCAAACGGGUGAGUAAUAUGUGGGAAUCUACCCUUCGGUCUGGAAUAACAUGAGGAAACUUAUGCUAAUACCGGAUAAGCCUUUACAGGGAAAGCUUUAUGCUCCGAUUGAUGAGUCCACACUUGAUUAGUUAGUUGGUGAGGUAAUGGCUCACCAAGACAAUGAUCAAUAGCUGAUUUGAGAGGAUGAUCAGCCACAUUGGGACUGAGACACGGCCCAAACUCCUACGGGAGGCAGCAGUGGGGAAUCUUGCACAAUGGGGGAAACCCUGAUGCAGCGAUGCCGCGUGAGUGAAGAAGGCCCUUGGGUUGUAAAGCUCUUUCGUCGGGGAAGAAAAUGGCUGUUCCCGAAUAAGAAGGUCCGGCUAACUUCGUGCCAGCAGCCGCGGUAAUACGAAGGGACCUAGCGUAGUUCGGAAUCCCUGGGCUUAAAGAGCCCGUAGGUGGUUAAAAAAGUUGGUGGUGAAAUCCCAGAGCUUAACUCUGGAACUGCCAUCAAAACUUUUUAGCUAGAGUAUGAUAGAGGAAAGUGGAAUUUCUAGUGUAGAGGUGAAAUUCGUAGAUAUUAGAAAGAAUACCAAUUGCGAAGGCAGCUUUCUGGAUCAUUACUGACACUGAGGUGCGAAAGCAUGGGUAGCGAAGAGGAUUAGAUACCCUGGUAGUC
rnacentral:rRNA from 1 species